ACCCGAAACCGACACAGGUGGUCAGGUCGAGUAGACCAAGGCGCUUGAGAGAACUCUGCUGAAGGAACUAGGCAAAAUGGUACCGUAACUUCGGGAGAAGGUACGCUGUUGAUGGUGAUGGGACUUGCUCCCUGAGCGAUUGACAGCCGCAGAAACCAGGCCGCUGCAACUGUUUAUUAAAAACAUAGCACUCUGCAAACACGAAAGUGGACGUAUAGGGUGUGAUGCCUGCCCGGUGCUGGAAGGUUAAUUGAUGGGGUUAGCGUAAGCGAAGCUCUUGAUCGAAGCCCCAGUAAACGGCGGCCGUAACUAUAACGGUCCUAAGGUAGCGAAAUUCCUUGUCGGGUAAGUUCCGACCUGCACGAAUGGCAUAAUGAUGGCGGCGCUGUCUCCAGCAGAGGCUCAGUGAAAUCGAAUUCGCCGUGAAGAUGCGGUGUACCCGCGGCUAGACGGAAAGACCCCGUGAACCUUUACUGCAGCUUGACAUUGAACUUUGACCUUACUUGUGUAGGAUAGGUGGGAGGCUAUUGAAGAUGGGACGCCAGUUCCAUUGGAGCCAUCCUUGAAAUACCACCCUGGUAAUGUUGAGGUUCUAACUCUGCCCCGUAAUCCGGGGCGAGGACCAUGUCUGGUGGGUAGUUUGACUGGGGCGGUCUCCUCCUAAAGAGUAACGGAGGAGUACGAAGGUGCGCUCAGCGUGGUCGGAAAUCACGCGUAGAGUAUAAAGGCAAAAGCGCGCUUAACUGCGAGACCCACAAGUCGAGCAGGUACGAAAGUAGGUCUUAGUGAUCCGGUGGUUCUGUAUGGAAGGGCCAUCGCUCAACGGAUAAAAGGUACUCUGGGGAUAACAGGCUGAUACCGCCCAAGAGUUCAUAUCGACGGCGGUGUUUGGCACCUCGAUGUCGGCUCAUCUCAUCCUGGGGCUGAAGCAGGUCCCAAGGGUAUGGCUGUUCGCCAUUUAAAGAGGUACGCGAGCUGGGUUUAGAACGUCGUGAGACAGUUCGGUCCCUAUCUACCGUGGGCGCUGGAAAUUUGAGAGGAUCUGCUCCUAGUACGAGAGGACCAGAGUGGACGAACCUCUGGUGUACCGGUUGUGACGCCAGUCGCAUCGCCGGGUAGCUAUGUUCGGAAGGGAUAACCGCUGAAAGCAUCUAAGCGGGAAGCCUACCUCAAGAUAAGAUUUCCCUAGGAAUUUAUUCCUCUAAAGAGCCGUUCAAGACUAGGACGUUGAUAGGUUGGAUGUGGAAGCAUAGUGAUAUGUGAAGCUGACCAAUACUAAUUGCUCGUGAGGCUUGACUAUACAACACCCAAACAGUUG
rnacentral:rRNA from 1 species